rnacentral:rRNA from 1 species
ACUUCGGUACAUCGGUGACAGGUGGUGCAUGGUUGUCGUCAGCUCGUGUCGUGAGAUGUUGGGUUAAGUCCCGCAACGAGCGCAACCCCUAUUGUUAGUUGCCAUCAUUCAGUUGGGCACUCUAGCGAGACUGCCGGUAAUAACCGGAGGAAGUGGGAUGACGUCAAAUCAUCAUGCCCCUUAUGACCUGGGCUACACACGUGCUACAAUGGUUGGUACAACGAGUUGCGAGUCGGUGACGGCGAGCUAAUCUCUUAAAGCCAAUCUCAGUUCGGAUUGUAGGCUGCAACUCGCCUACAUGAAGUCGGAAUCGCUAGUAAUCGCGGAUCAGCACGCCGCGGUGAAUACGUUCCCGGGCCUU